rnacentral:rRNA from 2 species
GGGCUACACACGUGCUACAAUGGACGGUACAACGAGUCGCAAGACCGCGAGGUUUAGCUAAUCUCUUAAAGCCGUUCUCAGUUCGGAUUGUAGGCUGCAACUCGCCUACAUGAAGUCGGAAUCGCUAGUAAUCGCGAAUCAGCAUGUCGCGGUGAAUACGUUCCCGGGCCUUGUACACACCGCCCGUCACACCAUGAGAGUUUGUAACACCCAAAGCCGGUGGGGUAACCGCAAGGAGCCAGCCGUCUAAGGUGGGACAGAUGAUUGGGGUGAAGUCGUAACAAGGUAGCCGUAGGAGAACCUGCGGCUGGAUCACCUCCUUUCUAAGGAA